rnacentral:misc_RNA from 1 species
CCGAGUUUACAACUCCCAAACCCCUGUGAACAUACCACUUGUUGCCUCGGCGGAUCAUGCCCGCUCCCGGUAAAACGGGACGGCCCGCCAGAGGACCCCUAAACUCUGUUUCUACAUGUAACUUCUGAGUAAAACCAUAAAUAAAUC